UUCCAAAAAAUCCUAUAAAUAUCUAAAGUGAUUACAUAUAUAUAUAUAUAUAUAUAUAUAUAUAUAUAUCAGUAAAACUUCUCAGAUUUUCUUAAGAAAAUUCACAAAAACAUCAACCAAAAUCCAAGGAAAUUCGCUGGAUUUUAGUUGAUUUUUUUGCGAAUGUUCUUCAGAAACAUUUUAAUUUUUCUACCAAAAUAUCUUCAAAGUUUUCCUAAAAAUGUGGACAUCAGCAGUUUCACAGUUAAAAUCAGUUUUUUUCCCACAUUUUCAAACUUUAAAAAUUUGAGCCGCAGGACGACACGAGGGUCAAACUGAAUAACUGACGGCAAUUAAUUGUUGGUUCCAGUUUUUAAAAGCAGAAUAAGUGGAGCUACUUUUACUAUUUGUGGGGACAAUUUACUAAUUAGCCGAUAAUUUAUCAAACCUGCCAGACUUUGUGUGUCAGACUCAGAUUUCAGGAUCGAGGAACAAACGAAGCCCGGUUGAGUUGGAGUUUCACCUCCUGCUGGAUUCCAGGUGGAGGUCAGGUGUGUUCUUCUGGGACGUUCUUCAGGCACCUUAAAGGAUUCCUCCACGCAACGCUCCUUUAUACCAACGCAUGUGGAGACUCUUCUCUUAUAUCGGCAUGCACAAGACGUUACCUCAUUUGGAUUUUUUUUUGCAUUUUUUCUUCUUCGUCGUCCUUCAUCUCCUCAUCGGUUUUCACCAAAGUGCACUGGCUGUUUGUUCCGUUAAGUGUUGAAUGUUUAAGGGAACAGGAACUCCACCUUUACGAAGAUCAUGGCAUGUCCAAAUACUAAAGCAUUAAGGCCUAAUAAUUAGCUCCGUGGCUUAGCUACGUAUACUCAAUGCAUGACAGUGUCAGUAUUAAUGCCUGCAGUCGUGGAGGGACUCUGGAGGACGAAGGUGAGGAUGACGAUGAUCCUCAUUACUGUCGACGGGAUGCAUGACGGAGCCGGAGGGGACAAAUCUGCUAGAAUAAAACACACAAAAAAAACGGAAUCAAGGAAAAAAAAACCCUGAAGAGACGAUUUGAGGAUCUCCUUUAAAAAAAGACUUUCUCUGUUAAAGCUGUGAUCUGUGAUGAUGGAGUGCAUGGGUCAUCUCUGUGUUUUCAUUUCAACCUUUAAUCUGUUCGAGAAGGAAGGCAGGAGUGUUUAUCAGACUUCACAGGUGUAUCUAAAGCUAGCUUCCAGUGCCUUGAACCCCGUCUGACGAUAGAAUCGACUAAAGUGCCUCAGAUGCGACAGAGAGCUGAACUUCUGGAACUGAACAGAAUUUAUUCAGUAGUUUUUUUAAACCGGUUCUGGGUGGAGACACACAGCGGCAGAACAGACAGAAAACGCCAAAUAUAGGUCGUCUGUUGUCUGAUAUCUGCAGGUUCUUCAGUUUUCUGGUGUUCCUCCUCAAUGUUCUCGCCAAAUAUUGUUUGGAAAUUAGAGAAAUGUAGUUUCACGCUGCAGAAACUGAAUCUUUCAUGAGAAUGGAGCUGAAAUGAAGCAGCAGAAGUAGAUCUGAACUGAGCUGCUUCUGGUUCUAAUGAGGGUUCAGCUGUUGGUCCAUCUUAGAUUAACUACAUGUUCAGUAUAUUAGCUCUGGAUUAGCCAAAGAAGCUAACUGAUAGAAAUGCCCAAAGCACUGCUGUGUGUUAGCAGCUGUGGCUAACGAUACAGAAAACAUCCUGUUGGAUUAGCUGUGGAAGCUAACUAGCUAACCAGGCUACCCGAGUCUACACAGAACAAAAUAUGCAAAUUAUUCAGCAGAUUAGCAGCUUUAGCUUCCUAGUUAAAAAGCAUGUAGUCCAAACUAAACCAGACUCAGAAAGAAGCUCCUUGGAUUAACUUUGGAGUCGGUAGUAGCCAGUUAGCGGUGUGGCUAACGCCACCACGAUCUUCUAAUUGGUAGGCUAAUGGAGUUAGCUUCAGACAGGACGCAGCUACACGAAAAAAAUACCAGUUUUCCUUUAAUCCUCCUGCUGUCUUCAUUUACCGGCACCAAAGAAUAUUGUUUCCUUGUCUGAAAAAAAUCCAAAAAUUCAGCAAAAAAACUCGCCAAAUGUCAAAAAAUUUGCAAAAAUCUUCCAAAAAAAAUCCUAAAGAAAUCUAAAGUGAUUACAUAUAUAUCACAACAACUUUUAAUAUUAUCUUUAAGAACAUUUUUAUAAGUUUUUUCCACCAAAUAUGUUGAAAAUGGGGCUAUCAAAAGUUUCACUGUAAAAAUAUAUUUUUUUCCACAUUUUCAAACUUUAAAUUUGCAAAACUUUCAGGAAGAAAAUUCCUAAAAGUCAUUUGAAAUUUCCCUUAGAAAUUUUAUUUAAAAAUCCCCCAAACUUGGUAAGAACAUUCUUGUAAAUUACUUUUAAAAAAUGAGUGAAAAUCUUCCAAAAAAUCCAGAAAAAUAUCUGAAGUGUUUACAUAUAUAUCAGAAAAACUUAUAAUUUCUUUUUUUUUUUUUUAAAGAUUUUUACUCAUUUUUUGAAAAUAUUUACACAAUUUUCUUGUCAAAUUUAGGGAUUUUUUUUUUUAGAACUUGUAAGGGAAACUUUUAAGGAAUUAUUGGAAUUUUCUUCUUGAAGGUUUUGCAAAUUUUCAGAAAUUUGGGGAAUUUUUUUUGCUGAUUUGUUGAAUUUGUUUUAGACAAAACCAGUAUUUUUUGGUGCCUGUAAAUGAGGACAGCAGGAGGGCUAAAAGCAGUAAAAAUGGAGAAAAUGAGCCUUUAAUUGAGUGUCACAGGAGGAGAUGCAGCUCUGUGCUGAGGCUGGCUGGAUGUUUGUGCAGAGAUGAUGGAUCUGACCUCAGCGUUUCUCUGCAGAACAUCACCACAGGCAUUAGUCACUCUGCAGCCAGAAAAUGGCUGCUGUGUGCUCCUCACUGCAGCUCCAGAGUUCAGGAACAAACGCUCCGUCCUCCCAUCAGCCACUUAGUUUACUGGUUUAUUUAGUGUUUAACCAGUUAGUUUACUGGUUUAUUUAGUGUUUAACCAGUUAGUUUACUGGUUUAUUUCGUAUUCCUGGACACUGACAGACAUUUAUCUUGUGUGAAGCUUUAAAUGAAGGAUUUUCUGCAGUUUUUCGAGCUAAAUGUCUGGAGCUGAUGGAAUACUUUAGUUUUCCAUCAUAAACCUAAAUGAGGUUUACGUUCUUGGUGAUCUGUUAAAAACAUUCAGAGUCAGAUGUUGAUGGUUCAGAUUCUCUUGGUUUAAUCCGGAAUCAGAAUCCAGCUCUGAGUUUCCUCCAGUUCUGGUGGUAAAAUGGAAUUCUAGAAACCUUUUUGGAUCGGUAACGCUCUAAUUAUCCCGCUAAGUUCAGCCAAAGCGUCGGUUUUAUUUGUGAAACGUUCUCCAUCAUAUGAUAGACAGGAAAACAAACUUUUCUGUUUCCACGAGUCGCUGGUAAAAGUUCAAUUUCUCCUUCAUGAUUCCACAUUUCAGCGUCGGUUUUAGCUUCAUCUUCUUGAUCUACUGAGCCGUGUGUCACCAACCACAACCUGUUUCCUGAGCUGCUGCUGAAAUCAAAAAUCCCUUUAAUGAACGUUUCAGAGCUAAAUAAAUCAGAGGCCGUGAAGGAGCAAAAUUUACAAUUCCACAUUUUUUAGAGGUAAAACCACAAAGAAGAAGAGGUAAUAGUGGAGAUGGUGGGGAACAUCUUCAGCUCGUUGUGCUUUCAGGUUCUGUUUGUUGGUUUUUAAGGGACCAAACCAGCUUCUACUUCAUCAGAUCUUCAGCUCAAACGAUCAGAGAACCACAGGACAGAAGAAACCCAGUUAGGUUCUAAAACUGCCGUCAAUCAGAGUCCGUUUACAAGCUUCCUACUGCCCGUCCAAACCGACCAAUCAGCGAGGUUAUCGGUGAUCGAUCGGCUUUGAGCUGCAGAUCAAACGUUUAAAUCGGUUUUUAUUUCAGCUUCUCUCAGAAAAACUCCUCAAAACAUUGUUAUUGUUCUACAGAGUUCCUCAGCCUGGUUCUGAUCCACUGAAAGAUCAAACAGCCUCUUAGAGAACCUGAGGAGCAUUAAUGGAAGAACCUGAGGAGCUUAAACCUCUAUCCAUCUGCAGCAGCUUCAUCCAACAAUCAGAAGCCAACAGGACUUUAAUCAGAUCUUUAACGACUGUUCCAGGUCCUUCCAUCAGGCUGCUGGUUCUAACAAACAGUUUAAUAACAGAACGAUUGAUUAUUAGAUUAUUUAAAACAUUAGAACUCUGGUUCUGAUCUUUAAAAUCAACAAAUUCAGCUUACAGAGAAAUGGAAGGAACCGGCUGAGGAACCACCACAGAGAUGAAGAUGAUGAUGAUGAUGAAGGUUAUGAUGAUGAAGAUAAUGAAGGUUAUGAUGAUGAUGAUGAAGGUUAUGAUGAUGAUGAUGAUGAUGAAGGUAAUGAAGGUUAUGAUGAUGAUGAUGGUGAUGAUGAUGAAGGUUAGGAUGAUGAUGAUGAAGAUGAUGAUGAUGGUUAUGAUGAUGAAGAUAAUGAUGGUUAUGAUGAUGAUGAUGGUUAUGAUGAUGAAGAUGAUGAAGAGUUUAGAGAUAUUUCUGGAUCUCCUGAACCAGAUGAACUUCAUGAUUCCAACCUGAACUUAAAGCUGCUGAUAAAUAUUUUGGAUUCGUACGAACACAGACAAUGUUCUAAAAAGGUUUUUUUCCAGUCAGACGGACCUCGUUUAGCUUUAUUUCUGUUUUAAAAGUGUUUUUUUUUCCAGUCAGACGGACCUCGUUUAGCUUUAUUUCUGUUUUAAAAGUGUUUUUUUUUCCAGUCAGACGGACCUCGUUUAGCUUUAUUUCUGUUUUAAAAGUGUUUUUUUUUCCAGUCAGACGGACCUCGUUUAGCUUUAUUUCUGUUUUAAAAGUGUUUUUUUUUCCAGUCAGACGGACCUCGUUUAGCUUUAUUUCUGUUUUAAAAGUGUUUUUUUUUCCAGUCAGACGGACCUCAUUUAGCUUUCUUUGUGUGUUUUCUCAGUCAGAAGCCAAAGUGUGAGGAAUGAGAUCAGACCCGUUUCCCUCCUGGAUUCAUUCCCAUCCCAGCGUUUCGUUGGUUUUCUGGUUUUUCUGCUGCAGGAUCCAGUGUUUGUCGUGUUGCUGAGGGUCGAGGGUUAAAUCAUGUCCAUCUCAUCAUAUUACAGCAGUUUAAUAAAUUUUGAAAGAUGAAACUUU